UGGGGAAUUUUGGACAAUGGGCGAAAGCCUGAUCCAGCAAUGCCGCGUGUGUGAAGAAGGCCUUCGGGUUGUAAAGCACUUUUGUCCGGAAAGAAAUCCUUGGCUCUAAUACAGUCGGGGGAUGACGGUACCGGAAGAAUAAGCACCGGCUAACUACGUGCCAGCAGCCGCGGUAAUACGUAGGGUGCAAGCGUUAAUCGGAAUUACUGGGCGUAAAGCGUGCGCAGGCGGUUUGCUAAGACCGAUGUGAAAUCCCCGGGCUCAACCUGGGAACUGCAUUGGUGACUGGCAGGCUAGAGUAUGGCAGAGGGGGGUAGAAUUCCACGUGUAGCAGUGAAAUGCGUAGAGAUGUGGAGGAAUACCGAUGGCGAAGGCAGCCCCUGGGCAAUACUGACGCUCAUGCACGAAAGCGUGGGGAGCAAACAGGAUUAGAUACCCUGGUAGUCCACGCCCUAAACGAUGUCAACUAGUUGUUGGGGAUUCAUUUCCUAGUAACGUAGCUAACGCGUGAAGUUGACCGCCUGGGGAGUACGGUCGCAAGAUUAAAACUCAAAGGAAUUGACGGGGUCAUAGCUGUUUCCU
rnacentral:rRNA from 1 species